UUCAUAUCAGCUCGGUUUAGGCACAUUUAUAACUGGAUUAGAUGAGACUUAUUAGAUUUCUAAUUGUUCUGUCCAAUAAGCAAGUACAGCCACUUCAUAUAGGCAGUGACUGAGAGCAACAUGGCAUUAGUUUAGGGAGAGGCUGAGAGUCAGGAGGAUGAAGAUGGAAACUGUAAUGUGACAGAAUUGCAGUAUGUGUUAAGAUGCGUGUCCAACUGCUUGCCAAGUGUUCAUCAAAAGCAAAGAGAAGCACAGCAGUCCGAAUUCCUGGAAGGAUGUGCAAACAAGAUCUUUUUGGAUGGUGGAUGAAUUUUUGCACCUCCAGAAAGGAAAAUUAUUUAAAGCCCACAGCUUCCGUCUCUGCCCUUCUUAGUCUAUAAAUCUAAACACAUUUUUCUCAUUUGGAUAGGCACCAUGCAAAAGCUUGUAUGAGAAGUUCCAAAUGCUUUAGACUAUGUGUUUGUUUUUACAGAAACAUCUUGAGACACGAUGUUGCACGAUGCAGGCUACAGGCUGAGAAACUGCAGUUACUAUACAUAAUUAAACCAAAAAGCUUAUUCUAAAUUAGUCAUUUUGCUGUGUAAUAUUGUUUAUGUUUUGGCUAGACAUGAUUUCACGCUACAGAGGUUGCAUCCAUCCACAUAUUUGAGUCAUAGGAAUAUUUUCUGGUUGCUAAAGCUAGUGUUUAGUGUUUAGUGUAAUCACAGUCUGAACAUCAUUUAGCUUUGAGGAGCGAAGACAUAACUGUGAAAUGACUAAAGCUUUACAAAUCCAUGAUUUAUAUUUUGGAGCCUGGUCUGCAGUUAUAAUAUGGAUUUUCACACAUAUGUCCACAUUUGUUAAAAUAGACACUAAGAUCAUUCCUUUUUAAACUGUAUGACAUGGUUAGAUUCAACAUUUCAGAAAUAUUAGGACAGCUAGUGGGAUGUUCUAUAAUUGCUGUGCUAUUUAAAAAUCAUUUUCUCAAUACUGAAUCUAAGAAAUCAAGGUCUAGUUUUUACCAUAGAAUGAUCAAAUGUAGGAAAAUGUGUUACAUUAUAACCCUGCUAAUGGCAUAAGGACAUUCAGCUCCCUGGCUCCCUACAUCUUGAACCAGUGUAUCCAGUACAUGAUU